rnacentral:RNase_P_RNA from 1 species
CUGACCGGAACAAACGGUCGCCGGGCAAAUUAAUGCCGGGAGGAAAGUCCGAACACCGCAGGGCAGGGCGCUUCAUAACGUGAAGUCACGGUGACGUGAAGGAAAGUGCAACAGAGAGUAGACCGCCCAGCUACUCACUGAGUCGAACAAGUGAAGUGUUUGGUGGUUCAUCGUAAAUGAAUUGAUACUUGAAUCUGAUGACUUGUUCCAUUGAGUGAGUAGCUGGGUAAGGGUGAAACGGUGCGGUAAGAGCGCACCAGUUUCCCGGGUGACCGGGAAAGCUUGGUAAACCCCGUCCGGUGCAAGACCAAAUAGAGAGACGUUCGAGGGCUGCCCGUCCAAGUCUCCGGGUAGGUCGCUUGAGGUGUAUGGCAACAUGCAUCCUAGAUGAAUGACCGUUGAUUUUUUUGCGGGUAACUGCAAAAAAGUAACAGAAUUCGGCUUACGGGCCGGUCAGACCG